GUCACACGCGGCGCCCCAUUAAAGCGGCCGUCCCGGGCGCGCGCCUCAUUCGAGGCGACGGGCUCCGGGCCCUGAUAGAUGGGGUGCGGGGACGGAGACAAAUGACGGCCUUUGGGCUCGGAAUACCCACCUUUCUGGUAAUGCAGCCCAGCGGGUCCCAGCCUCGUUUUCCAGCCCUCACUCAAAAUGGAGUCGCUCUGGUUCGAACGCCUCUGACAAGUGUGUACCUACGUGUCAGGCCCAUCCUUCCUGCAGGCCUUUGUCUUGGUGUCACCCUGCCUGAGCUGGCCCCAACCACAGUAGCAACAGUGAUGCUGAUGUGUGACUGCUGCCAGGAGCCUGCUCACAUGACCGUGUGGAGAAAGUUCUUUCCCUGAGGACCAUCUGGAGUGGACGCGUGCACUACCCCUCUCUGAAUACACCCUCCCCACGAGGCCCUCUGGAGCAUCCUGUAGAGCCAGCCCCUACCCAGAGACCCUGAGCCCAGAGAAUGCGCUGGGUGGUGAGCCUGGGGACGAAUGCAGAGCCCUAGGUCUCCUCUCCAGAAAGACCGGAUUUUGCCAUGUUGGCCAGGCUGGUCUUGAACUCCUGACCUCAAGUGAUCCACCUGCCUCGGCCUCCCAAAGUGCAGGGAUUACAGGUGUGAGCCACUGCACCCGGCCUCAGGCAGGUAUUUUUACCAGCCGAAUACUCUUGCACUGUGCACUCUUCGUGUUCAUCAUCAGUCCCCCGGAUGGGUGUUUAAGGCAUUUCCAAAGCUCUGUUAUUAAAAACACGAUGCAAUGAGUUUCUUUCAGCAUUUCCCCUUGUUGCCGUGUGAAUGCGUCCGUGGUAUAACUUCCUAAAAGUGGAAUCGCUUGGUCAAAGGGUGGGUGCAUUUAGCAACCUGAUGGCUUUCCAGGAGACAAGUGCUGCCUCCCGGCCACGAGCUUUUAAGAAGAACUGUUGAUGGAACCCGAGCUGGAGUCCCAGGGACCGGGGCGAGUUCUCCAUCCCAGGGGAUUUUCAGAUGGGACACUGGGGAGAAGCUGCCCUGCCCAUCUGAACUCUAUGAUCCCAGUACUAACACUGGUAGCUGUGCCAUCCCCAGUAUAGAGACAGCACCGUGCUCUUGGGAGGGUGAGUCAUUGGCCCCCGGCUGCCCAGCAAACAGCAUGUGACCCCCACUUCCCAGCCAGGCCUGGGUCCUCUUGGGUUCCGAGAUCCCAGCCCCCUGCUGUGAUCCUCAGGGAUCCCUUCUUGACUGGCGUCUCCCAGAGGCACUUGUGUUCCCCCAGAGCUUGCUCUCCACAAGUUUCUGAAACUCAUUGCUGCUGCUGGAGACUCCAUUGGGUCUAGCUCUUGGCUGCUCUGGUUGUGCAAUCACCCGUCUGCACGUUUUUCUUUCGUGCAGAGAAAGAUCUGCCUCAUCUUUCUGCAAGAGCAUCUUGGUAUUUAUACACUUUUUGUCUUGAUUUUACAAUUUUUGGCUGGGCACGGUGGCUUACGCCUGUAAUCCCAACACUUUGGGAGGCUGAGGAGGGUGGAUCAUGAGGUCAGGAGUUCAAGACCAGCCUGGCCAAGAUGGUGAAACCCUGUCUCUACUAAAAAUACAAAAAUUAGCCUGGCGUGGUGGCGGGCACCUGUAAUCCCAGCUACUCGGGAGGCUGAGACAGAGAAUUGCUUGAACCCGGGAGGCGGAGGUUGCAGUGAGCUGAGAUCACACCACUGUGCUCCAGCCUGGGCAACAGAGUGAGACUCCGGCUCGAGAAAAAAAAAUUAUUUCUUGGUUGGGCAAUGUCACUGUUGUUUCUGAAAAAAUACACCCUUAUUGUACCAUAAACUGAUGAGUUGAAGCAACACUGGAAACUACAAGAAAGAAGGUAAAAGUCAUCAACACGCUUCACCUGGAGAUGACUCUGGUUAAUGUCUAGGUGGACGUCCUUCUGCAGAGUGUACACAUUUCGCCCCAUCCCCUCUAAUGACAAUGAAAACCUCUCUGUUUCUUGCUGAAGGUGGGGUGUGUAAGUCACUGGAGUGGAUCUGAGGGCCUGAAAAUCUCCAUCCCCUCCCCUCCCACAGCGUAAACAAACAGCCUCCCAGCACCCCUCCCGCACUGCCAGGUUGGAAGCCACCGCUCCAGCUCCAGGGAGCAAGGCUUGGUGCCCACUAAGCAGGUGCUAAUGAUUCCCCCACUCUCAAAGAAAGUUCCAUUCACUCCCCAAGGUUCCACUCCCCUACCUUCCAGAC
rnacentral:lncRNA from 1 species